rnacentral:misc_RNA from 1 species
GAUGAAGAACGUAGCGAAAUGCGAUAAGUAAUGUGAAUUGCAGAAUUCAGUGAAUCAUCGAAUCUUUGAACGCACAUUGCGCCCCCUGGUAUUCCGGGGGGCAUGCCUGUUCGAGCGUCAUUACAACCCUCAAGCUCUGCUUGGUAUUGGGCCCCGCCAGUUCUGGCGGGCCCUAAAGUCAGUGGCGGUGCCUCCCGGCUCCGAGCGUAGUAAUUCUUCUCGCUCUGGAGACCCGGUUGUGUGCUUGCCAACAACCCCCAAUUUUUUAAGGUUGACCUCGGAUCAGGUAGGGAUACCCGCUGAACUUAAGCAUAUCAAUAAGCGGAGGA